ACACUUCAACGGCCGCGGUAUCCUAACCGUGCAAAGGUAGCAUAAUCACUUGCCCAUUAAUUGUGGGCUAGAAUGAAAGGACUAACGAAACUAGCCCUGUCUCUAUAAGUACCAUAAAAAUUAAUCUUUAGCUGAAGAGUGCUAAAUAAAAUCGAAGGACAAGAAGACCCUAUAGAGCUUUAUUUUUAAGGGGGUUAUCCUUCAUAUAAAUUCGGUUGGGGCGACCAAGGAUAAAUAUAUCAUCCUUAAAUUAAAGAUAAAUUUAUCUAUAAAAUGACCCUUAAAUAAGAGCAUAAAAUCAAGCUACCUUAGGGAUAACAGGCUAAUCCCUCUAAAGAGUCCUCAUCUAUAGUGGGGGUUGGCACCUCGAUGUUGGCUUAGGGAAACUUCAUAGUGCAAAAGCUAAGAAAAGAUGGUUUGUUCAACCAAUAAAACCCUACAUGAGCUGAGUUCAGACCGGCGUAAGCCAGGUUAGUUUCUAUCCUCGAUACAUUAAUCCUAUCUACAGUACGAAAGGACCUAGAUAAGGGUAACUAUUAUAAAAAAAGAAUUAAUAUAAACUACAUUAAACAACCAAUAUUCAUACACUAUG
rnacentral:rRNA from 1 species